rnacentral:misc_RNA from 1 species
AUAUAAUAUAUAUGUAGUAUCGGGGCCAAAAGGCCUAAGGUAUCGGCCGAACUGUAAACAAAGUACCGUUUAGCAUCAAUGUACCGUUGGGUUCUUUAAGUGGACAGUUUUCGUGAAAAGGCUGCGUAACCUUGACCACGGGGGUUUCGGGAUACCUGUUCCGAAGAACGGGAAAAGGUAGAGUGUGUAGAGGGUGUAGACGUGCAGAGCGUGUGGAGUGUGCGGAGUGGGCAGAGCUUGAAUUGGGAAGCAGAAAGCCGCAUGCGAGAAUAGAACGUAGAACAGCAUUGUAAUCAUUUCGUUGCUUCGAAUAUAUAUAUAUUAAAUCAAAACAUCAUUACUUGUCCUUUCUCUCUAAGACCCA